CACAACAACCACCACACCCACAAAGUCCACAGCAACCAUAACUACAACCACCACACUGACAACAACCACCACGCCCACAAAGCCCACAACAACUACAACCACUACACUCACAACUACAACCACCACACCAACAACAACCACCACACCCACAAAGCCCACAACUACAACCACCACAAAGCCCACAACUACAACCACCACACCGACAACAACCACCACACCCACAAAUCCCACAACUACAACCACUACACCCGCAACUACAACCACCACACCCACAAAGCCCACAACUACAACCACCACACCGACAACAACCACCACACCCACAACAACCAUGACAACUACAACCACAACGACCACAACAACUACAACCACAAGGACCACGCCCACAACUACAAUAACCACAACAACCCCAACUACUACAACUACUAAACCUACCACAGUUACUAUAAUAACUGAUCCCCCAAACCUCAAGGAAGAGCAGCCAGUGUCUCUCACCUUCAAUCUCGUUAAAGAGUUCACAAGUGAGCUUCAGGACAGCAUGUCACCUGUCUACAUAAACCUGGUUUAUAUAGUCAUUAUACAGAUUAACAUCAUUUAUCAAGCCAGAUUUCCAUUAACCUACAAACGAUGCAUCAUCAACGGUUUUACGAAAGGAUCAGUUAUAGUAGAUUCAACACUCGUCUUCUCCAACGAAACACUCCCCACCGAUGUCGAGAUUGUAGAAACACUUUACGACGCCUGGCAGGGAAACCAGACUUCCUUGAUUCUUGUAAAUAACACCAUCCAUGUUUUGACUCCAACACCAACACCCGCAGCCACCCCGACCCCGUCUGCCUCCAGUACCUCUCCAGAGAUGCUGCUAUUUUCAGCAAUGGCUCUGCUAAUCACAACUGCUCUUUUAAUAUUACAUAACCUUUCAUUAGUAUAGCAUAUAAUAAUAUAGGACUUCUGGCCCCGUUCCACCAUUCCCAAACCUCUAAAAAAAAUCCAAAAGAAUCCAGGCAUUUAAAUGUAUUUAUGAAGCUUAGAAGCUAAUAUUAAAUUACAUUUACCUGAGUUUUGAAAUUUGUAAAUAAAAAUACAUACUUCAGAUUUUAAAAAUUCA
rnacentral:lncRNA from 1 species